rnacentral:tRNA from 1 species
GCCGGGAUGGCCGAGGAGGUUAGGCAGGCGGCUGCAGACCGCUACACGGGGGUUCAAUUCCCUCUCCCGGCUCCA